AGCUACAACUGACUGCUUGCCAUUGCUGUAGUGUAAUGUCUAUUAGGACCUAACAGCAUUGGAAUGAAUCUGCCUCUCAGUGUGUCCUAACCUAUUCAAGAUCCCAGCUGCAGUGAGCUUGCAGGAUAGAAGAUUUCUGUGUGACAAAUAGAUCUCAAGUCUGCUUUUGAAGAGGACAGCUGUUCAGAACUCUCUCUAAAAUGGCGGAAGCUCAUCAAGCAGUAGCUUUUCAAUUCACAGUAACUCCAGAUGGGAUUGACCUGCGAAUGAGCCAUGAGGCACUCAAACAAAUUUACCUAUCCGGUGUCCAUUCAUGGAAGAAAAAGUUCAUCAGAUUCAAGAAUGGAAUUAUCACUGGUGUUUAUCCUGCUAGCCCAUCUAGCUGGCUUAUUGUAGUUGUGGGUGUGAUGUCAACAAUGUAUGCCAAAAUUGAUCCUUCUUUAGGAAUAAUAGCUAAAAUCAACCGAACACUUGAUACAACUGGCUAUAUGUCAAACCAAACACAGAACAUCGUGAGUGGAAUACUUUUUGGCACGGGGCUUUGGGUUGCCCUUAUUGUCACAAUGCGCUACUCUCUAAAAAUGCUGCUUUCCUAUCAUGGUUGGAUGUUUGCUGAACAUGGCAAACUUUCUGCAGGCACCAAGUUUUGGAUGACACUUGUAAAGCUCUUCUCGGGACGUAAACCCAUGUUAUACAGUUUCCAGACAUCUUUACCACGAUUGCCAGUUCCAGCGGUUAAAGACACAGUCAAUAGGUAUCUGGAAUCGGUUCGGCCACUUAUGGAUGAUGAAGAGUUCAGAAGAAUGGAGGGUCUUGCCAAAGAUUUUGCAUUUAAUUUGGGACCAAGGCUUCAGUGGUAUUUGAAGCUAAAAUCCUGGUGGGCCACAAACUAUGUUAGUGAUUGGUGGGAAGAAUAUAUCUACCUUAGAGGACGUGGACCAAUUAUGGUUAAUAGUAACUAUUUUGCAAUGGACUUCCUUUAUUUAUCUCCCACAACCCUGCAGGCAGCUAGAGCUGGUAAUGUUAUCCAUGCCAUCCUGCUCUAUCGGAAAAAACUGGACAGACAAGAAAUCAAGCCAAUUCUUCUGAUGGGAUCUACUGUUCCACUCUGCUCAGCUCAGUGGGAGCGGAUGUUUAAUACCUCCCGUAUCCCAGGAGAGGAAUCAGAUACUCUCCAGCAUGUGAAAGACAGCAAACACAUUGUUGUGUAUCAUAAGGGCCGUUACUUCAAAGUGUGGCUGUACCAUGAUGGUAGACUGUUGAAACCCCGCGAAAUUGAACAGCAGAUGCAAAGAAUUCUCGAUGAUGAUUCAGAGCCUCAGGCUGGUGAAGAGAAGCUAGCAGCUCUUACUGCAGGAGACAGAGUACCAUGGGCUAAAGCUCGGCAGGCUUAUUUUAGCUGUGGAAAGAACAAACAGUCCUUAGAUGCUGUUGAAAAAGCAGCAUUUUUUGUGACAUUGGAUGACAUCGAGCAAGGGUACAGGAAAGAAGAUCCAGUGAGGUCACUGGAUGCAUAUGCGAAAUCCUUAAUGCAUGGCAGAUGUUAUGACAGGUGGUUUGAUAAAACAUUCACUCUUAUAGUAUUCAAAAAUGGCAGAAUGGGUCUGAAUGCAGAGCACUCUUGGGCAGAUGCUCCUAUUGUUGGACACCUGUGGGAGAAUGUAAUGGCAACUGAAUAUCUUGAACUGGGCUAUUCAGAAGAUGGGCAUUGCAAAGGAGAUAUCAAUCAAAAUAUUCCUAUUCCUACCAAAUUACAGUGGGAAAUCCCAGAAGAAUGUCAAGAAGUGAUUGAGAGGUCUCUGAGCACUGCUGUAGCUCUGGCAGAUGAUGUGGACUUCCAUUCAUUUUUCUUUGGUGCUUUUGGGAAGGGACUAAUAAAGAAAGCUAAAACCAGUCCUGAUGCCUUCGUGCAGCUUGCCCUCCAGCUUGCUCACUAUCGGGACAUGGGAAAAUUUUCUUUAACAUAUGAAGCCUCUAUGACACGCUUGUUCCGAGAAGGGAGGACCGAAACUGUUCGUUCGUGUACUGUUGAAUCAUGUAAUUUUGUUCAAACCAUGGAAGACCCAACUGAAAGUAAUGAAAAUAAGCUUAAGUUCUUUCGGCUUGCUGCUGCCAAACAUCAGCACUUGUAUCGUCUUGCCAUGACUGGUGCUGGCAUUGACCGCCAUCUGUUCUGCCUUUAUGUCGUGUCAAAGUACCUUGCUGUAGAUUCUCCUUUCCUUAAAGAAGUUUUGUCAGAGCCUUGGAGGCUGUCAACGAGUCAGACGCCACAGCAACACAUUGAUUUAAAGAAAAACCCUGAGAUGUUAUCCUGUGGUGGAGGAUUUGGACCGGUGGCUGAUGAUGGUUACGGUGUUUCUUACAUUAUCUUGGAUGAAAAUUCCAUCCAUUUCCAUGUGUCCAGCAAAAUAUCUUGUCCUGACACGGAUUCUCAUCGUUUUGGAAAAAACAUCCAAAAAGCAAUGGUUGACAUCAUGGGUUUAUUUAACCUUAGUAAAAACUGUACCAAGUGAUUUGCCUUACUGGUGCCAAGCAAUCUCCUGUUGUUGGGAUGAGAACUCUUCUGAACAGUGAAUGAGAGCAAGGUUUGUCAAACGGUAGGCGGUGAAGAAACUGAGUCAACGUUGUCUUGAUCACCUAUGAAAACCUUAGCGGUGUAUCAAAUAUUUCAUUAUUUUUUCAGUAGUUUGGAAGAGUUUAUUUCCACAAAGGAUGACUUGUGAAAUCUUGUAUGUUUCUAGGGAUGAAGUAUAGUAUCAUUGCAUGAAGUCAUGUAUAUUCUAACUUGUGCAGUUUUCUCUUAAUUUCUAUACACUUGCUCUUUUUUUUUUUUUACUUAAUAGUCUACUUGUAUUCCAGAAUCCAAGUGAUAAAACAUGCCGUCUUAAACUCAAAUACUAGGAAAAGUUUGAUUUGCUAUGUAUUAAUAGCAGAAUGUUCUUCAAUGUAUCUGCUGCUUUAGGUCAAUGAAUGACAAGACUUGUGGCCGUUUACCUUCUUUGUUUUUUGGGGGGUUUUGGGGGGGGAAAAAAAAAACUCACAGUGGGUUUUACUACAUUGGGUCAUAAAAUGUGUCACCUAAUUAGCAGGUAUUACAUAUUUCUUAUUACUUACAAACAUAACAUGUUUGCCACAUUGUUAUUUUAUUCCUGUAUAAAAAAAUGGACCUGUGUGCUUGUUCAUGAGAGUGCCUUAAAAAAAGAAAGAUCCUAAACCCAGGAAAAAAGCUUAUGCUGGGAGUUGGUUUUACAUUGUCUAAGUGGUGAAGGUAGUAGUAAUGCAGAUCUAGUUUUCAAAUUAUAAAUUAGGUUGAUGUGGCAUAAGUAGACUUGAAUAUAUUGCCGUAGGGUGCAGUUAGGUUUAAAGCUCUAAUGACAUACUCCCAUCUUAAAUGGCAAAGACCAGUCCCUAUGAAAUGCAGGAGUAACUUUGUUUCAGAGCCACAGAUACUCAUGUGUUUGUUUUGGUGAAUGGUAUUGGUGGUCAUUUGAGACAAGAGUUUCUGGGCCCCACGGAGUGUCAAUUUAGUUAAAUGCAAAGCUAAUCUACAAAGCAAGGCUGCUUGUAAAGGCGGAUCAAGUGCAGUUUGCCUGCUUUCAGCCUGGAAGGACCACCACUACACAUUGCCAACCAUCUGCAUGAGAAGGGCAAACUAUUACGGCUGUGGAAAAUAGCUCCAGAAUGGGGAAAAUCCUGGCCUUCUCAAACCCCUCCUGGGAGGUGCUCUUGGUCAAGCACAGUUUCUGAUGGAUACAAGGAGGGAGGGGAAAGGUAUUUCACUCAAAAAGGAGCAUAAGGCUUCCAAGUGCAGAAAUAAAAUGGCUACUACAAAAUGGAGUAACUUUGUGUGCCAUGCUUCUCUUCCCCAGGCUUUAUAGGUGUGGUUUACUUUUUACAUCCUGCAGUGCAGUCAAGUGUACCUGUUAACGCAACUUUUUUUUUUUUUUUAAGUCAGGUACAUGGUGUUUAGUAAUGCAGGGAAUGCUGCUCCAGAGCUGUGCUGAUUUUAAAACGCUUUUGGGGUUGAUAUAAAACUUCUCAUUAGACUUUGAAUGUUUUCUGGCCAGUAUUUCUAACUUUCUAUGCCUCUUCAUGUUUUUGUUCAGUUUUAUUUGUUUUGGUUUUUUUCACUCUGAUCUAGCUAUUAAAAUACCUGUAUUUGUAUGUUUGAGGUGGGAAACCUCAGAGAUCCCAGAUGCAUACUUAAGCAUGCUUACAUAAAUGUAGAAACCCUCCCAGGAAUUGGCCAAAGACAUUUGAUUAGGUACGGUGUGUGGGAAAGGACACCUUGAAAUAAGCCUUAAUGUGUCUGGCAGGCCUGGCAUUUAUCAAAAUACUGCAACAAUUUUAUAGUGAUUUAUUCUUUUGGACCUGCAGAAAUAAUGCACUGUCUGGUUUGGGUUUGGGUUUUGGUUUUUGGUGGUUUUUUUGUUGGUUGUUUUUUUUUUUUUUUUUUUUUUAUUGACCACUGACCAAUCUGUGCUUAAAUUAACAUUAGGGCAUAUUAACUUGUAGGAUUUUCUUUAAUAAAAAACAGGUUUAGAUUUGACUCUCAGGUUUUAAAUGUUUCCAGUCUAAUUGUAGUUAGUGCAGUUAUCAAUGCAAUUUUACAUUCUUAGCGAUUAAGUAUAAUUGGCACAAAAAGCUGUUUUUUAUUGUAAAUGUUUUAAACAUUUUUGUGGUGUUAAAUGUAUCUUUUUUUUUUUUUUUAAUUUGGGGUAGACCAUAAUUCCUAAACAGAUAAGAUUUUAUUUCAUUUUCUUUAAAAUGUCAACAGCAUGUAAAUAAAAUAUGCUUUUUGGAUGUAAAUCUUAGAAAUCCACAGUGAAUGUAGGUUAUUAAUAAUUAAUUAAUUUAAAUCUUGCAGUUCGAUAUUGUGUACAUACAGUAAAACUGCUUGCUUUUUUGCUCAGAAGCCAUAGGAAUGUAAUUGAUAUGACCUAGAUUUGAAUGAACCUUCUAGUACGGUGUACUUCAUUAUAAAGUAAAAUGUUCAUAUUCCAGAAAAACCAUUAAUUUGUCACUAAAACCGUUAAUUACUUACGCUCAAUUAGUGACACUUAUUCUCAGUUAGUGACUUGAGCUCAAAGUUACGGUUCAGUAGGUGGUAAAAGUUAGGUUGGAUGAUAAUAAAUUGACCUGUUUAUUAAAUAGCAGUAUGGAAUCGGUGGAAUACCUCGAAUGUGCAUUUUCCAAAUUUCUUAUUUUGGGUAUUUCAUGCCAGAAAUUAGGAGAGUAUUAAGUGCAUUUAGAGGCUACCACUGUCCAGCAUUAACACCAUUCCAAGCUAAAUAUUCUUUUAAGGUCUGGGGUUUUUGAGGGACUAAGGAAAUGUGUGCCUGACCUUGAAAAUCAUGGUUCUAAUUCAGCCAAUUGUUUUCUUGUAUAACAUAUGUUAAUUUAAGCUAUUUUUUUAUCUUGUUCAAUUAUUCUACAUCUAUGGUUGGUUAUUUACAUCCAAUACUUUGUUUCUGUGACUUCAAAAAAUAAAAUAAAAUUUCACAAUUGCCACUACUUAGUACAAUGUUUAAUAUCUUUUGUAUCUUCUUCCCAGCUCCCUUGCUCCUGUUUUUGGACUUGUGAAAUCUUUGCUAUUAAAUCCAGUUAGGAAUGGUAGUA